GUUGUUUUUAAAUAGUUGCAAAAGUGCCUGCAAAGUUCUCAUGGACUUUUUAUUAAAAAAGAGUUUAUUUCUCAAUUACACUUAAAAACAAUUUGUAACAAAUGAAUAACAAUAAGUAUUAUUGUUGCUUGGAUCAUGUUUGUAUAAUCAAAUACAAAAUUACUUGACACAUUUUUUAUAGUAUUCGUUUUAAAUUUGUGUACAGUAGAUGUUUCGGUUAUCGAAUGUUAUUCGCUAAAACUGACAGACGUCAAGCCGUGUUGGCAGAGGAAACUCUCAAUAAAUAACUGAGGAAGUACUUAUAGAAAACUAGCUGAAAAGCAGGUUUAGCCAAGUGAGGAUGUUAAGACAAGAAAAAGAUGAACAAUGAUUUUUCUAAUGUUUUCCAAUAAAUUAAAGGAAUCUAGUAAAUAGUAAACUGCCAUUGAUAACAAUACAAAUACAAUUAGUUUAAUGGGGUCAAUUGAACCGAUGUUAAAAUAAACAUGCAAUAAUAUUUGUUGUUAUGUAAACAGA